CGCACCCCCUCCCUCCUCGGUCUCCCCCUCUCUCCCUCGUCGGCUGCCACAACACGAAGCCAGGAAUCCUCCCCCUCCUUCUCCCUUGCAUGUGUGUGCCCGUCGUCGCCUUCCCCCCUCUUCCCCAUCGUUGCCCCAAUGCCUCCAUGGGCUACAACAGAUCUAUGGCUGAUGGGAGGGUACGAGGUAGAGAAGGACGCGUCGUCGGCCCGUCACUUAGGCUGGUGAAGCACAGGUCAGGUCUGGGCGCAACGACCGGCGCCUGCGGGCAGGGUCGGCCGUGGAGGGAGGCUCGCCGGCCGGAGAAGCAGGAGCAAGGAGCUUUCUUCUGAAGUGUGCAGAUUGUUAUUCCUUAUCAGGAAGGACAAUAUUCAUUUGAAGGACUUAUUAGACUCAGAAUAUUUAGCUGGUGGAUGUACGCAGGUUGGAGGAAUGAGAAUACUUAUGAGAUCACAUGAAUGAGAUAUUAAGCCCUGGAUGCCCAAAAUUGUAUCAUUGAUCCCACACAGUGGUUAGAAUCCCAGUCUUUGAAUCACAAUAGACAAGACCAUAUUUCACAUUUUGUAUAGUCCAGCCAAUAAUACACAUGGAGCCUGGUGAUGGUUUUCAAUAUAUUGUGAUAGUAGUUUCCUGCAUUGAUUAUUUCAUGAGCCACCAUUCCGUUUUAAACUCGAAGUGGUGCAAUAUUUAAAUAGAUGUGUUUGUGCCAUUUAGCCCCCAAAUUCAGUUCAGUUCCGUUGUACAUCUUUUACUGACCCCUUUUCUUGGUACUGAUUGACCUUUGUACGUUAAUAUUUUUAUUUGACUGCAUUUUCUCCUUUAGUCCUUCCUCUUAGUGUAUAAUCCUGAUUGUGUGUGUUUCUUUCCUAGUAGGGUAUUUAUGAUUCAGACCAUUCCAUAACAAAAUGCACAUAUGGCCUCACAGUAGGAGUUCAGCUUCAGACUGUCAUCAAGUUUGUCUCAAAUUUAUUGUUCCAGUUUGGAAUAGUGUACUUUCACAAGUAUUUUCUAACGAGUACAUAUAACACUUCCACAUAUUAUAUUACAAAAUGGAAGUACAGAGGAUAUAUAGAAGUUACGACCGUUGUGCAGCGUGAUCUCUGAAGAUGGAUUGCAGUUUGUCCAAUUUUUGCAGGGAUAUUGUGUGAGGUCUGCUACAAACUUUAAGAAAAUCACUUAGUACAUUCAUGGGAUCACCAACUUUUGGCAUUUGUUGAGACUACAGCUAGGCGCGAUGGCGGGCAUCUCCGGCAGCGGUAGUGACCUGCAGGAAAAAGGCGACAACGAGAGUGUUCAAUUCGAUCCAUCACCAUGGAUCGGUCCCUGCAGGAGAGAGAAGAUGAGGAAGAGAGAGAGAGAAGGAAGGAGAGGAGGGAGAAAGAGAGAGGGAGGUACGAUGGUGAAUGCACUGGACUCUUCAAGAUCAAGGGCACCAACAGCAAAAGGCCGAGUGCAUCCAUCGACAGCAUGCCCAAUGUCCGGAUUCACUGAGCAGUACAACCGGAGACGUUGUAGGCUGCCUGCAGGUCUGGAAACCAGACAACAUCUCUGAAACCCACUAUCUUCUUAUGCAUGAAUUUCUGCUCAGUUUGGCUACAUCUAAUUUGUUAUCGUUAAUCCUAUUCCAUAACGCAAAGUUGCAAACAUCCUGUUUUUUCAUCGAGAGGAAGAACAUUAAGAAUUUUCGCACAUUCUGUUGUAGCAAUAUUGACUGUAUGAAUACCAGUAAUGUGUUUGGCAGUUUGUUCUUGUGGCUUCCAAAAAACCUGGAAUGUUUGUUCUGCUGGUACAACUCUCUUUGGCUAGGACAUUUUGGCUUCAAAUAACAUCAAUGAACCUAAAAUUUCUUAAUAUUUUAUACCACCUUUUGUAUUGAUGUUCUUCAUGCAUGCUCAUCUGCCAAGAGGUCAUUCCAAUAAUAUCACGCGUUCCUCAGCAGGCGCCAAGCCGUCCACUGUUGUCUCUGCCCGAAGAAGGAUUAUGGUUCUCCACCUCUCUGCUACUCAUAUUAAAAUUCCGGCAUGUUCUUUCUUUCUUUCUUUCUUUAUUUUCUGUCAAGAAAAAGGUAGAACCUGUUCUUAAUUUUCCAUAAUGAUUUGAAUGCAAUUUGUCAGUGUAUUUCUAGCUGGAAUUGCAUGUAUAUCUUACAAAUUUACAUUGUAAGAAAUUAAUAACAAGAAUAGAAGCAUUUGCACCCAUCUAACAUGUUUGUCUGGUAUUUUUCAAAAAGCUCAAGGUUAGAGAUGUGGCGCUGUAUGAGACUAUCAUUAGGACAGAAGAUAAAUUAAUGUUAAAAUAUUGUUUGAAUUUUCUUCGUUCUGUAAACGGCAAUACAAGAUAUGUUGCACCAUGAUUCUAUUCCAAAAAAAAUAACAGCUGAUAAUUAACGACACAUCAAAUGUUCUGUUUUGAAAUGGAUCAUUUUGCCAGGUUGGGUUUAGUAGGUCAUAACGGUUUUAUUCAACGACAAGAUUAAUUUUGUUUAUACUUUAACCAGUUAAAGGAUUGGCGGUCAAGCCCUAUGAUCUUUGUACACCAAGGUUCAGUUGUGUUCUUUGUGAAAUAUAUGUCCUGCAAGUCUCAUGUGUCUUGCGUUAUUUUCGCUUUCCAAGCUACAGGAUUUUGAUAUACUUCAAACGUGAUUCUUUAUAUGUUGUUUGAUUCCAUCAAUCGUAAAACGUAAAUUAGCAAUUAGGCGUCUACAAAGUGUAGUGGAACCAUUGUGAUUGAUGCAGUUUUAUUUUAGUAUUGAAAUGUUUGUCUUAGUUUGUUUUGUGUUGAGAAAUAUAUUUGUUUUCCAGCCAUUGUUUUCUAAAUCCUAUCAACACAUUACCUGAUAUGGCCUUUGAAGUUUCUAUUUUAUAACGAUCUUAGUUGUAGUGGUCAACUUGAGUAUGGUAUUAUGGUAUAGUUUAUUCUUUUCUGUUGCAGCUAUUUCGGAGAAGUUUAGAGCUCUGCAAACUUUUGAGGACAUGAUUUACAAUAGCAGAGAUGAAACAAUCAAUCAGUUGAGAUGCAUUACGUCAUAUUUUUUCUCUGGACAUCGAUGUGUAUUGUAGACUCCUUUCUUUUGCCACAAAGGAUACGAGCUGUGCCAUUUGACUCGAAGGACAAAGCAUUCAUCACAAGGGGGUGGUCUUGAUAUAUACACAAAAGAGGAAAUUUCCUUUUGUAUAGAACCAAAUUAUAUGAUGUAAUUCAGUUCAAAUAAUAAUUUAUAUGAUGUAAUUGACCACUAUUUCUAAGAGAUUCUCCUCUA